rnacentral:rRNA from 1 species
UACGUAGGGUGCGAGCGUUGUCCGGAAUUAUUGGGCGUAAAGAGCUCGUAGGCGGCUUGUCGCGUCGGAUGUGAAAGCCCGGGGCUUAACCCCGGGUCUGCAUUCGAUACGGGCAGGCUAGAGUUCGGUAGGGGAGAUCGGAAUUCCUGGUGUAGCGGUGAAAUGCGCAGAUAUCAGGAGGAACACCGGUGGCGAAGGCGGAUCUCUGGGCCGAUACUGACGCUGAGGAGCGAAAGCGUGGGUAGCAAACAGG